GCUCCCUUCCGCGCGCGCGGUAGCGAGCUUCGCUCGGGGUGGUGUCCGCGCGGUACCGCCCCCUCCGGUUCGCCUCACCUGCCGCGGCGAAGGUGAGACCGCAACGCCUGGGAAAGGUGGUCCCGUGAACAGAUAUAUGGCUAUGGAAGCUUGAGUUCUGGCUUGGUGGACUGUAAUGUGUAGAAGGUGCUGACAGUCACAUAGUAGGACUGCUGCUUUGCUACAGUUUAGGAGAGAUACAGAGAUCAACAAAAAACUUGAAUAGCAUGGAGAGGAUUGAAGAUGGAUCAAUUCUUGGCUACCUCUCUGCAUCGAAUGAAACAGGAAUGAAGAUAAGUUUGAAGGAUAUUUACACUGGUCUAGAAUCCAAAGUCGUGGGAUACUGCGUUGUGCUGAUGGAGCGUAUUUGAGGUGUUAAGGGCUGCAGUUCCUCCAGAGAAAACAGCACAGAACUGAAUGCUAUUGUAUGCUUACAUACAGUAAGGUGAGAACAGUCGAGGUUUGGAGAUCUGGACUGCCAUCAGCAACAAUUAAAUUCUGUCAAGUUCUGCUGCCAGCUAACUUGAGUUAAUCAAAGAAAACUCCUUUGUACAUAUGUUGAUCUGAGUGUAUAAGUUAUCCUUUGACAGCUGCUUCAUCUGAAAAAUGGGAACUGAAAUCCACUGCUUCUGUAGUUAGCAAUUCUGGAUUUGCAUUGACUGAUUCACCAAUCCCUAUGGGAAAAAUAUAGCUAAAAUCUGGAUCAGAAACCUUGUAUGGAGCAGGAGAUGCUCAUAGCAACCAGGAUGAAAGGAGGCAAAAGGCCAUGUGGCAGGAUAUAUGCUGACAAACCUGAGAUGUCUUACAGAAGACAAUUGGAAACAACAGGAGCAUCUUGUCUCCCUCCAGCAGAACAGUGAGCCAGAAUGAAAUGUCUGCUUCCUGGACAGACCUCAGAGCACAAGUGCAUUUGAUCUUCUGUCAACUAAGAAAGGGAAAUUAGGAUGUGACACAAGCUGUCCUGUGCAUUCUUUGCUUGCAGAGUCCCCACUCUCUGCCAUGUAUGGAUCCCAAGUCUCUGAAGGCUACUGUGAUUGAAUCAUCAGGUCCAUGACUGUUCAGAACCACUUGGCUCAUUGAUCCUGAUUUCUGUAACUGAGAAAAGAUGCUUCAUAGAAGGUAUCGUUAACCUUCACUUCCCAUAUACGGGUAUGGGUGGAAACACAACCAUAAUGAAGAAAAGGACUUCCAGAAGGUCACACAGAAGCAGACCAGAAGCAGAAAUAGCACUUUGUUUUGCAGACUCUCCCAUGAUGUUUCCCAAACUGCACUGCUGCUUUUGAGUUUGUGGCUCCCAUUGCAGUUGAAACCAAGAACCCUACCAACAUUCAACUAAUUGAUAAAACCUCAGAAGGCCCAUAAUCACCAAAGCACUACAAGACUUGUUUAAAUUUAUUUGUUUGGCAAACAUGUUGGAAUGGAUUAAUUAAAAGAGAUUGGUCUCUGUUAGAAAAGCUGCUGUACCUAGCAGGAUUUUCAGAACACCUGGGAUAUUUUCACCUGGGAUAUUUUUACUGCCCACUGAUUUCAGUGGCAAGUAAGCACCUGUGCACUGUUGAAAAUGUCACUAAUCUACAGAUUUAGGUGCCUAGACACUUCUGGAAGUUAAGCACUUAAUACUGUACCACUUGCUGCAUAUUUUACCUCAUUGCAAAAGAUCUAACCCAGCCACUCAAAAUAUUCUUGUGUGCUCUGAGGCUGGAAUUUUAAACUAGUGCUUGUUUUAGUAUGGCUAUUUACCUCAGAUCUAUUCUGCAUCUAUAUUAUGUAUAGAUGGGCUAAUUUACUGCUACCCUUGAAGGUACAUUGCUCAAUUUGUGCAUCCUUCCUGCAGAUAUUAAAAGAAAUGGAUUUGUGAUCCAUAUGGAAAUAAUUUCAUGAAAUGUAGUUAUAAUAGGCUUUUAAGUUCUUCAAAAUGAGUUGAUCUUCUCAACCCACGCAUUUCCUCUCAAUGUCAUGUACGUAUUUGUGCCAGUGCUAAAAAUGAUAAAUGCCUUUGCAGCAUAACAUGCAGUGAAAUCCGUAACGUAAUGGAUUUCUGUGAUGGGAUAGGAAAGAAAUGCCACUUCUUCCAGUUGUUUGCAAUAUAUGGUCUUAAAAAGUGUUUGAUUUUUCUGAGAAAAUGCACUAGACUCCUUGUUCAUGUGUAUGUAAUACUCCACUGUUAUGCAAUUAUUUUUUCUCCACUCAUCAGAGCUUUAGUUUAUUGAGGAGGAAAAAAGUUACACAAUGUGUCUUUUGUGAUUGCAAAAAAUGGUGGUGUCCUCACUAGUUUGCUCUUUUAUUCUGCCUCAAGUACAUUGUAUUCUGUAAGAGGCAGCCUGCACUAUGUGACUGAGAUAAAGCAGGAAUAGCAGAUAAGUUGUUAGUAAUGUUAAAUGCCAAACUUCUAUCAGCUGUGCAGAGUUUUCUUAAAAUUUUUAGUGUUGUUGUUAUAUAUGAUGGUUGUGGGUCUUGUUUAUUUUUCCUUGAAGCAGCUAUCUUUUGAUAUCAUAGGAAUAUAUAGCAAGCUUAUAUGGUAUUUAAGAAGCAAAAGUAAACUUCCAGCUAUUGCAGUUGCAGAAGAAAACUUGCUGUUCUGACUUCCGUGAGUUGUUAAAUACUCAAAAAUCCAAAAGCAAAUAAGAAAAUUUAAAGCAAAAACCAUUUUUGAUCUAAUUCCAUGACUUUUGGACAUCUAAUCCACUGUAAAAUUGUAUGUUUAUAAUGCUAGUGGUUGGCAACUGACUGAAGUAUCUGGAUUUACCUAUUGAGAGAAAUUUUUAUGUUACUGCGUGCUGUUUUACUUCCCAAAGGAUGUAAAGGAUGCUUUGACUGGAAAGGCUGUGUUAGCCACAGUUUCCAGAAAGGAGAGGAUGGAUUGGCUGGUUGGUUUGCUUGAUUACUUUAGCUUCUAUAGUCAAAGGAAAAUAAACAGGUUUUCAGUAUUUUAUUUAACUCUCUGGAAUAUUUGAGAAGUUUAAGCUUCAGCUUGGUAAACUUAGUAUAAAAUCUUAAGUUAGAGCAGAUCAUUCAGAGAUUCAUGAAUUUAUCCAUAAAAACUAUGCUACAGGAGUAGAGGCUUUUGACAAUCCUUGUUUAUUUUUUCACUAACUGUACUAUCAGUAUAUGGACUUGUCUAUCUUUUCCUAUUUCUGUACCACUUAAAUACACUGCUUGAGAAGUAAGGCUCCUUAAGGUUUUGUGCUGCAGAAACACAGGAAAAUAAAGAUAUCUCCUUUUCCAAACAGCUUCCAGUAGUGUAAUCUACCUGAAAUCAUUCAUCUAUCACUGUGCAUGGCAUAAUGCAGAAACAGAAAAUCUUGCCCAGGAAAGGAUGGCAUAUUUUCAAUAGAAUUGUGUGGAAAUUAACACAAAUUUAACUGUGUUUUUUAUUAAAAAAAUGGGUGGGGGAGUUUUUUCAUAUGUAGCAAUAUUGUGA